UACGUAGGGUGCGAGCGUUGUCCGGAAUUAUUGGGCGUAAAGAGCUCGUAGGCGGUCUGUCGCGUCUGCUGUGAAAUCCCGAGGCUCAACCUCGGGCUUGCAGUGGGUACGGGCAGGCUAGAGUGCGGUAGGGGAGAAUGGAACUCCUGGUGUAGCGGUGAAAUGCGUAGAUAUCGGGAGGAAUACCUAUGGCGAAAGCAGGCUACUGGACCGUCACUGACUCUGAUCUGCGAAAGCUAGGGGAGCAAACAGG
rnacentral:rRNA from 1 species